GCCUUCGUGAUGUAAUUAGAAGCGUAUUCGACUCGUAUUCGAGAGGUACAGGGUUCGAUUCCCGGCAAGGGCA
rnacentral:tRNA from 1 species